rnacentral:rRNA from 1 species
CCGCGGGAUAGAGUUUGAUCCUGGCUCAGGAUAAACGCUGGCGGCGUGCCUAACACAUGCAAGUCGAACGCACUCAGCAAUGAGUGAGUGGCGGACGGGUGAGUAACACGUGGGCAAUUUACCUUUCGGUGAGGAAUACCGGCGAGAAAUCGCCGACAAUACCGCAUACGCUUCGUAAGAAGCAAAGUCGCAAGACGCCGGAGGAGAAGCCUGCGCCCGAUUAGCUAGUUGGUGGAGUAAUGGUCUACCAAGGCGACGAUCGGUAGCUGGUCUGAGAGGAUGAUCAGCCACACUGGGAUUGAGAACGGCCCAGACUCCUACGGGGGGCAGCAGUGAGGAAUUUUCGUCAAUGGGGGCAACCCUGAACGAGCAACGCCGCGUGUAGGAUGACACUUUUCGGAGCGUAAACUACUUUUCUCGGGGACGAGUAAGGACGGUACCCGAGGAAUCAGCCCCGGCUAACUACGUGCCAGCAGCCGCGGUAAUACGUAGGGGGCGAGCGUUGUCCGGAGUUACUGGGCGUAAAGCGCACGCAGGCGGUCCGGUAAGUUUGGAGUGACAAUUCUCGGCUUAACUGAGAAGGGUCUUCGAAGACUGCCGGACUUGAGGGCUCACGAGGGACACGGAAUUCCGGGUGGAGUGGUGAAAUGCGUAGAGAUCCGGAGGAACACCAAAGGCGAAGGCAGUGUCCUGNGGAGUACCUGACGCUCAGGUGCGAAAGCUAGGGGAGCGAACGGGAUUAGAUACCCCGGUAGUCCUAGCCGUAAACGAUGACCACUAGGCGUGGGGGGUAUCGACCCCUUCCGUGCCGUAGCUAACGUGAUAAGUGGUCCGCCUGGGGAGUACGGUCGCAAGAUUAAAACUCAAAGGAAUUGACGGGGACCCGCA